CCCUUAGAUGUUCUGGGCUGCACGCGCGCUACACUGAAGCGUUCAACGAGUAUUCACCUUGCCCGGGAGGGUUGGGUAAUCUUUUGAAAACGCUUCGUGAUGGGGAUAGAUUAUUGCAAUUAUUAAUCUUCAACGAGGAAUGCCUAGUAAGCGUGAUUCAUCAAAUCGCGUUGAUUACGUCCCUGCCCUUUGUACACACCGCCCGUCGCUCCUACCGAUUGAGUGUGUUGGUGAGGAGUUCGGAUUGGCUCUUAGUGGUGGUUCGCCACCACCUAGAGCUGAGAAGUUCUCCAAACCGCCCCACUUAGAGGAAGGAGAAGUCGUAACA
rnacentral:rRNA from 1 species